rnacentral:rRNA from 1 species
GAGGAAUAUUGGUCAAUGGGGGCAACCCUGAACCAGCCAAGUCGCGUGAAGGAUGAAGGUCUUAUGGAUUGUAAACUUCUUUUAUACAGGAAUAAAUUGGGGGACGUGUCCCCUUUUGCAUGUACUGUAUGAAUAAGGAUCGGCUAACUCCGUGCCAGCAGCCGCGGUAAUACGGAGGAUCCGAGCGUUAUCCGGAUUUAUUGGGUUUAAAGGGUGCGCAGGCGGGAUGUUAAGUCGGCGGUGAAAUUUUGCAGCUCAACUGUAAAAGUGCCUUCGAUACUGGCUUCCUUGAGUGUAGAUGAAGUAGGCGGAAUUUGCGGUGUAGCGGUGAAAUGCUUAGAUAUCACGAGGAACUCCGAUUGCGCAGGCAGCUUACUAAACUACAACUGACGCUCAUGCACGAAGGCGUGGGGAUCAAACA